CUAAUAUAAGAGGUCUGCCUGCCCAGUGACUAUAUGUUUAACGGCCGCGGUACUUUGACCGUGCGAAGGUAGCGCAAUCACUUGUCUUUUAAAUGAAGACCUGUAUGAAUGGCACGACGAGGGCUUAACUGUCUCCUUUUUCCAGUCAAUGAAAUUGAUCUUCCCGUGCAGAAGCGGGAAUAAUACCAUAAGACGAGAAGACCCUGUGGAGCUUUAGACACUAAUUCAGCCCUUGUCCAAAACCCCCAAUUAAAGGAGUGAACACUAAGUGAGACCUGAUCUAAUGUCUUCGGUUGGGGCGACCUUGGGGAAAGAAAAAUCCCCCCAUGCGGAACGGAAAAUACUAUGUUUCCAAAAAACUAAGAAAGAACCACUCAAAGUUAUCAAAAAAAUUUUGAACCACACUUAUCAUGAUCACGGCUUAAGCACCGAUCACGGACCCGAGUUUACCCCAGGGAUAAACACGCCGCAAUCCUUUU
rnacentral:rRNA from 1 species